GACGAACGCUGGCGGCGUGCUUAACACAUGCAAGUGGAGCGACGAACCAGGGCUUGCCCUGGGGCAGAGCCGCGAACGGGUGAGUAACACGUGGGUUACCUACCCCGAUGACCGGGACAACCCGAGGAAACUCGGGCUAAUACCGGAUGUGGUCUUCGGACGAAAGGAAGCUUCGGCCUCCGCAUCGGGAUGGGCCCGCGGCGCAUUAGCUUGUUGGUGGGGUAACGGCCUACCAAGGCGACGAUGCGUAGCUGGUCUGAGAGGACGAUCAGCCACACUGGGACUGAGACACGGCCCAGACUCCUACGGGAGGCAGCAGUGGGGAAUCUUGCGCAAUGCGCGAAAGCCUGACGCAGCGACGCCGCGUGAGGGAUGACGGCCU
rnacentral:rRNA from 1 species